rnacentral:rRNA from 1 species
GUCUCAGUUCGGAUUGUAGUCUGCAACUCGACUACAUGAAGCUGGAAUCGCUAGCAAUCGCGAAUCAGAAUGUCGCGGUGAAUACGUUCCCGGGUCUUGUACACACCGCCCGUCACACCAUGGGAGUCGGUAACGCCCGAAGUCAGUGACCCAACCAAUCCGGAGGGAGCUGCCGAAGGCGGGAUCGGUAACUGGGGUGAAGUCGUAACAAGGUACC